GAUGAACGCUGGCGGCGUGCCUAAUACAUGCAAGUCGAGCGAAUGGAUUAAGAGCUUGCUCUUAUGAAGUUAGCGGCGGACGGGUGAGUAACACGUGGGUAACCUGCCCAUAAGACUGGGAUAACUCCGGGAAACCGGGGCUAAUACCGGAUAACAUUUUGAACCGCAUGGUUCGAAAUUGAAAGGCGGCUUCGGCUGUCACUUAUGGAUGGACCCGCGUCGCAUUAGCUAGUUGGUGAGGUAACGGCUCACCAAGGCAACGAUGCGUAGCCGGCCGGAGAGGGUGAUCGGCCACACUGGGACUGAGACACGGCCCAGACUCCUACGGGAGGUAGCAGUAGGGAAUCUUCCGCAAUGGACGAAAGUCUGACGGAGCAAUGCCGCGUGAGUGAUGAAGGCUUUCGGGUCGUAAAACUCUGUUGUUAGGGAAGAACAAGUGCUAGUUGAAUAAGCUGGCACCUUGACGGUACCUAACCAGAAAGCCACGGCUAACUACGUGCCAGCCGCCGCCGUAA
rnacentral:rRNA from 1 species